GAUUCUGAUCUCUUCCUCAAACAUAUGUUAUUAAUGUUGUUGUUGUUGAUGUUGUUUUCAAGCUUAAUGACAGAUGAAGCGAAAUUGAGAUUUCUUUGAAGAUGAAGCAAUUGUUGAUGUUGUUCCCAGAUCUGUGUAUACAUCUGGGAAAUCAUCAUGGCUUGACUGCAAUUGUUGCUAAUGAACCAGAAACUUGGGAUUUUAUAUUGAGAAUAAAUAACUUUUUGCUCUUUUGGAAGUUUGAA
rnacentral:lncRNA from 1 species